CUUUACUGUAGCCUGGUAUUGGGUUCGGGCUUUGACUGCGCAGGAUAGGUGGGAGACUAUGAAGCAAUCCUUGUGGGGGUUGCUGAGUCAACGGUGAGAUACCACUCUGGCAGAGCUAGAAUUCUAACUUUCUUCCCUGAAGCGGGGGAAAAGACAGUUUCAGGUGGGCAGUUUGACUGGGGCGGUCGCCUCCUAAAAGGUAACGGAGGCGCGCAAAGGUUCCCUCCGGCUGGUUGGAAAUCAGCCCGUGAAGUGCAAAGGCAUAAGGGAGCUUGACUGCAAGAGCCACACCUCGAGCAGGGACGAAAGUCGGCCUUAGUGAUCCGACGGCGCUGAGUGGAAGGGCCGUCGCCCAAGGGAUAAAAGUUA
rnacentral:rRNA from 1 species